UAUUGGACAAUGGGGGGAACCCUGAUCCAGCCAUGCCGCGUGUGUGAAGAAGGCCCUAGGGUUGUAAAGCACUUUCAGUUGGGAGGAAGGCUUUGGGUUAAUACCCUGAAGUACUUGACGUUCCCAACAGAAGAAGCACCGGCUAAUUUCGUGCCAGCAGCCGCGGUAAUACGAAAGGUGCGAGCGUUAAUCGGAAUUACUGGGCGUAAAGCGUGCGUAGGCGGUUUGUUAAGUCGGAUGUGAAAGCCCCGGGCUCAACCUGGGAUGUGCAUCCGAUACUGGCUGACUAGAGUGUAGCAGAGGGUGGUGGAAUUUCCGGUGUAGCGGUGAAAUGCGUAGAGAUCGGAAGGAACAUCAGUGGCGAAGGCGACCACCUGGGUUAACACUGACGCUGAGGUACGAAAGCGUGGGGAUCAAACAGG
rnacentral:rRNA from 1 species